rnacentral:rRNA from 1 species
ACGGGUGAGUAACACGUAUCCAACCUGCCGUCUACUCUUGGACAGCCUUCUGAAAGGAAGAUUAAUACAAGAUGGCAUCAUGAGUCCGCAUGUUCACAUGAUUAAAGGUAUUCCGGUAGACGAUGGGGAUGCGUUCCAUUAGAUAGUAGGCGGGGUAACGGCCCACCUAGUCUUCGAUGGAUAGGGGUUCUGAGAGGAAGGUCCCCCACAUUGGAACUGAGACACGGUCCAGACUCCUACGGGAGGCAGCAUG